AUCAUACCAUGCUGUGUGAAUAUGUAUAUUAUUGAGGUAUAAGUAUUGAACUGAGGGUGAAUAGCGAGCUAAAGCAAGCAGCAACACAACGUUUGGGUUUGAAACGUCACUUCCAUCAGCUGUUAAACGGGGAACGCUUCUGUGAGAAUGUACAAAAAAGUGCUCUGGAGAAUCUGGAGGAUCAGCAUUGAUAACAUACUUAUAGACAAAGACGGAGACCUUUGUAUUGAGGAGCAUGUCAGAUGGGUCUCUCAAAUGAUGGAGAGGAAAACCCAAUAUUUAAGACCAAAAGAAGAUUGAUCUGGCACUGCCUAGUUUCCUUGUGUGUGCAAUGAUGACGGCCACAGAUAUGUUUGGCCAGUGAAAAUGUUGCUAGGUGAAGUAAAAAUCUGACCUACUGACCAGCCUUCCGCAUUGCUAGGUUCUGGAAAAAUAAU